UACGGAGGGUGCGAGCGUUGUUCGGAAUUACUGGGCGUGAAGCGCGUGCAGGCGGUCGAUUAAGUCCGGUGUGAAAGCCCGGGGCUCACCCCCGGAAGUGCGCUGGAAACUAAUCAACUAGAGUACGGGAGAGGGAAGUAGAAUUCCUGGUGUAGCGGUGAAAUGCGUAGAUAUCAGGAGGAACACCGGCGGCGAAGGCGGCUUCCUGGACCGAUACUGACGCUGAGACGCGAAAGCGUGGGGAGCAAACAGG
rnacentral:rRNA from 1 species